UACGUAGGUGGCAAGCGUCGUCCGGAAUUACUGGGUGUAAAGGGAGCGCAGGCGGGGAAACAAGUCAGCUGUGAAAUCCAACGGCUUAACCGAUGAACUGCAGUUGAAACUGUUUCUCUUGAGUGAAGUAGAGGUUGGCGGAAUUCCGAGUGUAGCGGUGAAAUGCGUAGAUAUUCGGAGGAACACCGGUGGCGAAGGCGGCCAACUGGGCUUUUACUGACGCUGAGGCUCGAAAGUGUGGGGAGCAAAC
rnacentral:rRNA from 1 species